UACGUAGGGGGCAAGCGUUGUUCGGAAUCACUGGGUGUAAAGGGAGCGUAGGCGGAAGGGUAAGUUAGAAGUUUAAUGUACGGGCUUAACUCGUAACCUGCUUCUAAUACUGCUUUUCUUGAGUAUGGGAGAGGGAGAUGGAAUUCCAGGUGUAGCGGUGGAAUGCGUAGAUAUCUGGAAGAACACCAGCUGCGAAGGCGGUCUCCUGGCCCAAUACUGACGCUGAGGCUCGAAAGCUAGGGGAGCAAACAGG
rnacentral:rRNA from 1 species